GCUUAAACUUCUUAGGUGAGCUUACAAUCUUACAGAUGCAAACCCAAGCCAUGGCAGCAAAGGACGUCCACCUACAGGAGUGAUCAGAUGCUGUCUCUAUAUACAUCCGAUCCGAGCACUGGCAUCAACCACAAAUGAAUGCAUGCAACCAUAUCUUCAUCUCGUAGACCACAACUCUUUGCUUGUGGAAUUCCAAUUGGAUAUCUGAAGAAGCUCUGACACCAUGCAGAAUUACUCUUCCAUCGAUCAAUGCUGGAUUUUGUCUUGGACAAACCGUCGGCCAAGGCAUCCUCCUCCAUGAAGCAUGAAAGCAUGCUGUAAGAAGAAUUACUCCUCGCAUCAUCCGAGCUACAUGCGGAAACUGAUUCCCUGAUUUGCCUACACUGCUACUGCUCGUCGUGGAAGAUACAUCAGAGGAACUGUUCAUAGGCUCGUCACUGUUCUCUGGCACCUGCGUAUCAGAUUCCUCAAGGUACAAAUUCUUCUCCAUGUUAGCCAAAUUUGCAUGUUUCUUCUCUGUCUCAGCACUCACCAACUCACUUGUGCAGCUUUCUUCUCCUUUCUCGGAAGAGAACUCAGGUUUCCUUUGCUCAAAAUUUGAGCAGUCUUCGAUCAAUCUAACUUCCAACACUUGCACAAUUUCUUUGCUAUGAUCAUCCGAUUGCUGCCCGAUAUCCCUUGCCGUUUCAUUUGCUUCGAUCGUGUAGUUUGUUUCCGGAGCUUCCACCUGCAAGAAGACAGAAGCUAGCCAAGCAAUUCUACUGUCAAAAUCAAUGGCGAAGAACACUUGAAUCAUGCUAGUUUUAGGACAAAGAAAAUUAAGUUGAAAUACCUCGAUGACCUUAUGAACAAUGGGCAUAAGAGAAUAAGGUAAUUUGUCAAGAUAACACAAUGUCAUGAGCUUUAAUCUAACAAGAUAAUAUUUUUGGGCAGAGUUCGAGACCAGAACUUGAAGAUUCUUUUCUUAAAGAAGGAUGAGCUACAGCAAGAAUACCUCUUGGCCUGUAGGAGCAAAACAGGAAGAAGCUAGAUUUUCUGCAGACUCCAGUCUCUGAAUCAACAUCAGAUUCUUCUGUUCCGAAUUCGAUUAGGAGACGGUUUAUCAUCAUCUCCACGGAUUCAAGCUCGCCGAUCGCUCCUAAGUGCGCCGAGUCCUGAAUUCUUGGACUUUGAUGCUCUUCAUUCAAGGACUCAACUUGCAGGGACAAACUGUCGGCCUUCAUCAUCUUGAUUCUUAACUGGUCCUCAAGCUCUCUCAGGUGAUCCAUCAGAUUGCUUCUGUCCCUCUCCUGAACGUAUGCAAUUUCUUGCUCCAUGUCCACCUUCUCAACACCUAACUCGCCGUGCGUGAGUUUCAUCGGGCUGCUCUCGGGAUCUUGUGGUAACGGCUGCUUGAGUUGUGGCAAGAGGGAUCCGUCUUCAUCCCAGGAAUCCUUGCUGCUUUCAGAAUGUUCCUGGAUGGAGUUGAUGGCCAUGGUGGUGGUGGUUCUGGUGGUAGAAGUGCCAUGAAUUAUAUUUGCCAAGGCUUCCUCCUUGAUGAUUCAAACAUCCAAAUUUCUCAUCAAUAACAUCUUCAAAGAAACAUUUUUUCUUA